GCCGGGCAUGGUGGCGCAUGCCUGUAAUCCCAGCUACUUGGGAGGCUGAGGCAGGAGAAUCGCUUGAACCCGGGAGGCAGAGGUUGCAGUGAGCUGAGAUUGUGCCACUGCACUCAAGCCUGGGUGACAGAGCGAGACUCCUUCUCCA
rnacentral:sRNA from 1 species